rnacentral:rRNA from 1 species
UACGGAGGGGGCUAGCGUUGUUCGGAAUUACUGGGCGUAAAGCGCGCGUAGGCGGACCUGCAAGUCGGGGGUGAAAGCCCGAUGCUCAACCUCGGAACUGCCUUCGAUACUGCGGGUCUCGAGUCCGGGAGAGGUGAGUGGAAUUCCUAGUGUAGAGGUGAAAUUCGUAGAUAUUAGGAAGAACACCAGUGGCGAAGGCGGCUCACUGGCCCGGUACUGACGCUGAGGCGCGAAAGCGUGGGGAGCAAACAGG